rnacentral:lncRNA from 1 species
AAUCUUGGAUUUAGUCUUUGUUAGCUCAGAAAUGGGACCGAAUUGGUCAUGUUCCCACAGCACCUGUGUUGAAAGACAUCUUUCUGACGGUGGUUACUGUGUCUGGUGAGGAUGUGAAGAACAUGAGAGCAGCAAAAUGGUUUAAAAUAAAAAGUGCCUUAGCAGAAUAGUAGGUGCUGUUUGCCAAGCACAGGCGCACAUAACGUUAUCCUUUAGCCACUGCCAAUUAUCUCUAAUUUCUAUAAGUGAUGUACAUAUUUGGAUUUUCAGGAAGAGGAAAAAUGGAGGCAAAGGUGAAAAGCUGGUCUUUAUUUUUAACUGAAUUUCUUCUCUUGUAAUGCAAAUCUGGGUACUUUGAACUCUAACUCCUUUCAAUGCAGCCUGUUACAGUUGACUCUCUCACCCAACUAUCACACCAGCAAAGGCAAGUAAGAACAGUAAUUGCUUUAAAGGCUGAAUAAUUGUGCCUGAAUGCCAACAAGUGACGUUAUCUUUAUAACAAAAAACAAUUGCCCUGUUCUUACGGAAAUACAGAUUUCAUUGCAAAUAUGUUCACUUUAAAGCACACACAGUGCAAUAAAAUUACAGUGCUCUGCAGCAUUCAUCUCAGAUCUUCACAGCCACCCACCCAUUUACAAGUUGUGUCUUGCCAGCAGAAGAUUGUUGCUUGGUUUCUGUAAUAUUUUUGUAGCCUUGCUUUCCUCCACAUAAGCUUAGAGGUAGACUGUGCUCACUCCUUUCCUUUCAUCAGGUUAUUCUGCUGUAAAAAAAAUAAUUGGCUAGUAUGGAAAGUCUUUCACAUGACUCUAAAUGUGGUAUUCUUUUAUGUAGAAUAUACUCUGAGUAGUUUUUUCUAAUACCUUAAUGGCUCUGGUUUAUGUCAGUAAUUACAUGAAAGGUUAAUCUUUAAAUCACCAGCAUUUCCUAAAUUUCUAAUCAACUUCAUGCUUGGAAAGGAACCCACAUAAAUGCUCAAUUUGUUAAUAUUACACUGGGUUGAGCAGGUCAAGGAAAAAUAUAACCUUGGUGCAUAAUAAUAAAUUGAACACAGCAGAAACAUCUCGGAUCUGUUUGUCUUAAUAGCUAUGAAUAUGAAAGCUGAAUAUGAGGGGGAAUGAGGGUGGAUAUAAUUAGCAGGAGAA